ensembl:lncRNA
AUGUUUUAUCUGCAUUUUUGCAAACUGUACAUUUCCAAGUGAAAGAUGAGACUUCCGCUUCUCCAGAAUAGACUUGCUUUGUCUUAAGUCUUUGUCCAGUCCCUGUCUUGGAGACUUCUUUAAAUGUAAGUUUUCAAAACUCUGAAAGAGGAAAGAAGCUGUUGAAAGAAUCAGAAUGGGAUCAGUUGAAGUUUUAGCAUUCUAUUUUUGUCUUCAGGGGUAUCAACAGCCCUGCUUUCCUCUCAUGGUGGUUUGAAAGGUUACUUUUUAAGCUAGUUGCAUGGCCAUGGAGUGUAAUAAAUGUUAGAAGCACUUUAUGACAGUAAAAUCUUUUCUGUUCCUUUUGACAUUAGCAGCAGAGAUUGUUACCAAGAAGCACUGAGAGGAAAUGGGAAAAUGAUAACAAUGAUAAACACUGUCUUGGGGGAUAGGGGAGCUACACAGUCAAUUUAAUUCAUUUUUACUGACUCAGGCAGGCCCCUCUGGCUAAAAUGGCUGGAAGACAAUAUGUUCUCUGGGAUGGAGCAGAGAUGGGGAGGAGGCAGGAGACUUUUCCCAUCAUGAACACUUGCACAUGACCUCCAAGAAGAUUUCUUUCCAUCCUUCUGACAGCUGUUCUGAUAAUCCCCUGUACAAAUCAUUCAUACAUUUCAGAACUGAGAUUCUCAGCAUCAACCUCCCUGACAUUUUGGGCCAGAUAUUCGAAGUUGGGAUUUUCUCUGCUGCUGCUGCUAAGUCACCUCAGUCGUGUCCAACUCUGUGUGACCCCAUAGACCGCAGCCCACCAGGUUCCUCCCUCCCUGGGAUUCUCCAGGCAAGAACACCAGAGUGGGUUGCCAUUUCCUUCUCCAAUGCAUGAAAGUGAAAGAUGAAAGUGAAGUCGCUCAGUCGUGUCUGACUCUUAGCGACCCCAUGGACUGCAGCCUACCAGGCUUCUCCGUCCAUAGGAUUUUCCAAGCAAGACUACUACGGUGGGGUGCCAUUGCCUUCUCCAGGGAUUUUCUCUAGACAUUGUCAAAUAUCUAUUGGUGUAGCAAAAUUGAACCCUGGUCCUAGAAAUUCUGCAGUUUUAGCUUUUAUAUUUAGGUUUGUGAUCUAUUUUGGGAUAACAUAUAUGUUUAAGAUAAGGAUUGAGGCCUCUUUUUUUUUUUUUUUCAUAUGAAUAAAUAGUUGUUCCAGCAACAUUUGAAAUAUGGAAAGACCAUUCUUUAUCAUGAAAUUGCCUUAGCACCCCUAUCAGAAAACAGCUGACCACAUACAGACAUAUCUAAUUCUGGAUGCUCUGUUUUGUUCCAUUGAUACGUAUGUCUGUCUUUACACCUAUACUACACUGGCUUGAUUUAUAAUGAGUUCAGAUCAGCUGGGUAUAUGUUUUCCAAAUCUGUUUUUCUUAACAGUUUAUUUUAAAGACCAGAAGUGUUUGAUUUUGAUUGUCAUUAUUUUUGUGUAAUGAUUUCUGUGUGUGAUAUUUAAGAGGUAACUUUCUAUGCCUAAGAUCACAAACACUUUUUCCUAUUAUUUUCUUUCCAGAACUGAGAUUCUCAGCAUCAACCUCCCUGACAUUUUGGGCCAGAUAUUCGAAGUUGGGAUUUUCUCUGCUGCUGCUGCUAAGUCACCUCAGUCGUGUCCAACUCUGUGUGACCCCAUAGACCGCAGCCCACCAGGUUCCUCCCUCCCUGGGAUUCUCCAGGCAAGAACACCGGAGUGGGUUGCCAUUUCCUUCUCCAAUGCAUGAAAGUGAAAGAUGAAAGUGAAGUCGCUCAGUCGUGUCUGACUCUUAGCGACCCCAUGGACUGCAGCCUACCAGGCUCCUCCGUCCAUAGGAUUUUCCAAGCAAGACUACUACAGUGGGGUGCCAUUGCCUUCUCCAGGGAUUUUCUCUAGACAUUGUCAAAUAUCUAUUGGUGUAGCAAAAUUGAACCCUGGUCCUAGAAAUUCUGCAGUUUUAGCUUUUAUAUUUAGGUUUGUGAUCUAUUUUGGGAUAACAUAUAUGUUUAAGAUAAGGAUUGAGGCCUCUUUUUUUUUUUAUAUGAAUAAAUAGUUGUUCCAGCAACAUUUGAAAUAUGGAAAGACCAUUCUUUAUCAUGAAAUUGCCUUAGCACCCCUAUCAGAAAACAGCUGACCACAUACAGACAUAUCUAAUUCUGGAUGCUCUGUUUUGUUCCAUUGAUACGUAUGUCUGUCUUUACACCUAUACUACACUGGCUUGAUUUAUAAUGAGUUCAGAUCAGCUGGGUAUAUGUUUUCCAAAUCUGUUUUUCUUAAGAGUUGUUUUGACUAUUCUUGUUCUUUGCAUUUCUGUGUGCGUGUGUGUGUGUGUGUGUAUUAGUAUCAGAUUGUCAAUUUAUACUUCCUCCCCUCAAACAAAUCCCUGUUGAAAUUAUGCUGCACAUUGCAUUGAAUCUAUAGAUCAGCCUUGGGAGACUUGAUACCUUAACAAUAUUUAAGUUUUCCAAUUCAUAAACUUGGUGUAUUUCUCCAUUUAUUACAGGCUUUAAAAUUUCUUUCUCAGAACCUGUGCUCAGCCAAAUCUCCUAGGGUCUGGCUCCUGCCUCUGGCUUACCUGUUCCUGCAGCCAUGUUUUCCCAGUAGCAGC